rnacentral:lncRNA from 1 species
AUCGAACCAAUACAAAAUGUGACCAAGUUCGAAAUGUGAAAUAAUUACGCUUCGAAUAUGAGCGUUUGAACAGUGUUUAAAUAUUUUUAUUUAACACUCUGGACUCGAGACUUUUGGUAAGCCCAUGACGUGGACUUAAAUUAAAUGGGAGAAAAUUAAUAAUGCGAGAAGCCUGAUCGAUGUGAUUCGAAUUCAGGACUUUCUAUUUUGAUAACAUGUGAAACAAUCGUUGGACUUUAAAAACUUUAAGCUGAUAGAGAACUAUGUUUAAAUAUGUUUAUAUUCAAUAGGUAUAUAUAUAACUAAUUA